GGAUGUGAGGGUGACCUAGCUGUGACAUCUGUCACCCCAUUGAUUGCCAGGGUUGAUUCAGCUGAUCUGGCGGGCUAGGGGGGUGUCCCUUCCUCCCUCACUGCUACAUGUGUGUCCCUCCUGAAGCAACAGGUUGGAUCGAAGAGGAUGAUCUUUCCUGAUAGAGGAGGACAGUUCUGCCAAGGGUAUGCAAGUAGCUGUGCUCCCCUCCUAUUACCUCCAAACAAGCUCUCCAGAUCCAUUUGUACAAUACGGGCUGGUCAGGCUUCCAAGACUCCAGACACAUCCAAAUGAGGAGGUGCAUGUGACAGUCUGCCUUUCUAA
ensembl:misc_RNA 7SK 7SK RNA